AAAAAGCUCGUAGUUGGAUUUCUGUCGAAGACGGCCGGUCCGCUCUUUGGGCGUGUAUCUGGUUCGGCUUUGGCAUCCUCGUGGGGUACGUAACUGUGCUUGGUUGCAUGGUGCGGAAUUCACGACUUUUACUUUGAGGAAAUUAGAGUGUUCACGGCAGGCAUGAGCCUUGAAUACAUUAGCAUGGAAUAAUAAUAUAGGACUUUGGUUUUAUUUUGUUGGUUUCUAGAACUAAAGUAAUGAUUAAUAGGGAUAAUUGGGGGCAUUUGUAUUAACGCGUCAGAGGUGGAAUUCUUGGAUUGCGUUACGACAAACUACUGCGAAAGCGUUUGCCUAGGAUGUUCUCUUUAAUCAAGAACGAAGGUUGGGGGAUCGAAGACGAUCAGAUACCGUCGUAGUCUCAACUAUAAACUAUGCCAGCUAGGGAUGAGUGGAUGUUUAAUACGACUCCAUUCGCACCUUAUGAGAAAUCAAAGCAUUUGGGUUCCGGGGGGAGUAUGGUCGCAAGGCUGAAACUUAAAGGAAUUGACGGGAGGGCACCACCAGGAGUGGAGCCUGUGGCUUAAUUUGACUCAACAC
rnacentral:rRNA from 1 species